AGGGGAUUAGAUUAGUGGUUAAAUCACCAUUCUUACACAGUGGCUACAGCCGUUCGAUUCGGCUAUUCCUUA
rnacentral:tRNA from 1 species